CAAAAUCUCAACUUUAUUAGAAGAGACGCAUUUAUUAGAUAAAAAGCCAAUGCAUGCUUUUACAGUAUGAAAAUUGGUGAUUUAUAAUAACUUAGCAAAUCGCAAAGUGAAAACAGGCGAUAAAUCAUUCAAGUUUCUGACCUAUCAGCUUUCGACGGUAUGGUAUUGGCUUACCGUGGCAGUGACGGUUAACGGGGGAUUAGGGUUCGAUUCCGGAGAGGGAGCCUGAGAAACGGCUACCACAUCUAAGGAAGGCAGCAGGCGCGCAAAUUACCCAAUUCUAACAGUUUGAGAGAGGUAGUAACAAGAAAUAACAAUACAAGGCAGUUAAAAUGCUUUGUAAUUGGAAUGAUAGAAAUUUAAACCCUUUUUAAAGUAUCAAUUGGAGGGCAAGUCUGGUGCCAGCAGCCGCGGUAAUUCCAGCUCCAAUAGCGUAUAUUAAAAUUGUUGCAGUUAAAAAGCUCGUAGUUGAAGUUCUGCUAAAAGUAACCGGUCUGCUUUGAAUAAAAGUGGUAUCUUGGUAUGUAUUUAGCAAUGAUGUCCUUUGAAGUGUUUUUUACUUUAUUGUAAUAAAGCAUAUUCAGGACUUUUACUUUGAGAAAAUUAGAGUGUUUCUAGCAGGCCAACGCUUUGAAUACUGCAGCAUG
rnacentral:rRNA from 1 species